rnacentral:rRNA from 1 species
GGCUUACGAUGAACGCUAAAGCUACAGGCUUAACACAUGCAAGUCGAGGGGCAGCAUGUGGUUGCUGCAACCAAUGAUGGCGACCGGCGCACGGGUGAGUAACGCGUAUCCAGCCUCCCCUUAGUAGAGGAUAGCCCGGCGAAAGUCGGAUUAACACUCUAUGUUGUAUUUUGAUGGCAUCUGACGAAUACCAAAGAUUUAUCGCUAAGGGAUGGGGAUGCGUCUGAUUAGGUUGCAGGCGGGGUAACGGCCCACCUGGCCUACGAUCAGUAGGGGUUCUGAGAGGAAGGUCCCCCACACUGGUACUGAGACACGGACCAGACUCCUACGGGAGGCAGCAGUGAGGAAUAUUGGUCAAUGGGCGCGAGCCUGAACCAGCCAAGUAGCGUGCCAGGACGACUGCCCUAUGGGUUGUAAACUGCUUUUAUCAGGGAAUAAAGUGAGGCACGCGUGCCUUUUUGUAUGUACCUGAUGAAUAAGGACCGGCUAAUUCCGUGCCAGCCGCCGC